CCUACGGGAGGCAGCAGUGGGGGAUAUUGCACAAUGGGGGAAACUCUGAUGCAGCGACGCCGCGUGGGUGAAGAAGGUCCUCGGCGCGUAAAGCUCUGUCAGCAGGGAAGAAAAUGACGGUACCAGAAGAAGAAUCCGCGGCUAACUACGUGCCCGCAGCCGCGGUGAUACGUAGGGGGAAAGCGUUAUCCGGAUUUACGGGGGGGAAGGGGGGCGCAGCAGGGGGUGCAAGCCAGGAGUGAAAGCCCGGGGCCCAACCCCGGGACUACUAUUGGAACUGCGUGGCUAGAGUGCAGGAGGGGCAGGCGGAAUUCCUGGUGUAGCGGUGAAAUGCGUAGAUAUCAGGAGGAACACCAGUGGCGAAGGCGGCCUGCUGGACUGCAACUGACGUUGAGGCCCGAAAGCGUGGGGAGCAAACAGGAUUAGAUACCCGUGUAGUC
rnacentral:rRNA from 1 species